rnacentral:rRNA from 1 species
AUUGAACGCUGGCGGCAGGCUUAACACAUGCAAGUCGAACGAGUGGCGGACGGGUGAGUAAUGCUUGGGAAUCUGCCUUAUGGAGGGGGAUAACUACGGGAAACUGUAGCUAAUACCGCGUACCAUCGGAUGUGCCCAAGUGGGAUGUGGUAGUUGGUGGGGUAAAGGCUCACCAAGCGGACGAUCUCUAGCUGGUAUGAGAGGAUGACCAGCCACACUGGGACUGAGACACGGCCCAGACUCCUACGGGAGGCAGCAGUGGGGAAUAUUGCACAAGGGGCGCAAGCCUGAUGCAGCCAUGCCGCGUGUAUGAAGAAGGCCUUCGGGUUGUAAAGUACUUUCAGUCGGGAGGCGUUACCGACAGAAGAAGCACCGGCUAACUCCGUGCCAGCAGCCGCGGUAAUAC